GAUGAACGCUAGCUACAGGCUUAACACAUGCAAGUCGAGGGGUAACGAGAGGGAAGCUUGCUUUCCUUGUCGACGACCGGCGCACGGGUGAGUAACGCGUAUCCAACCUGCCCCCAACUAAGGAAUAACCUUGCGAAAGUAAGACUAAUACCUUAUAAUUUCCUCAGAUGACAUCUGACGAGGAAUAAAGAUUUAUCGGUUGUGGAUGGGGAUGCGUCUGAUUAGCCUGUUGGCGGGGUAACGGCCCACCAAGGCAACGAUCAGUAGGGGUUCCGAAGGGAAGGUCCCCAACAUUGGAACUGUGACACGGUCCAAACUCCUACGGGAGGCAGCAGUGAGGAAUAUUGGUCAAUGGGCGGAAGCCUGAACCAGCCAAGUAGCGUGCAGGAUGACGGCCCUAUGGGUUGUAAACUGCUUUUAUACAGGAAUAAAGUUAGCCACGUGUGGUUAUUUGUAGGUACUGUAUGAAUAAGGACCGGCUAAUUCCGUGCCAGCAGCCGCCGUAA
rnacentral:rRNA from 1 species